rnacentral:rRNA from 1 species
GGCCUUGACAUACUAGAACUUUCAGAGAUGGAUUGGUGCCUUCGGGAACUUAGAUACAGGUGCUGCAUGGCUGUCGUCAGCUCGUGUCGUGAGAUGUUGGGUUAAGUCCCGNAACGAGCGCAACCUUUUCCUUAUUUGCCAGCGGGUCAUGCCGGGAACUUUAAGGAUACUGCCAGUGACAAACUGGAGGAAGGCGGGGACGACGUCAAGUCAUCAUGGCCCUUACGGCCAGGGCUACACACGUGCUACAAUGGUCGGUACAAAGGGUUGCUACCUCGCGAGAGGAUGCUAAUCUCAAAAAGCCGAUCGUAGUCCGGAUCGCAGUCUGCAACUCGACUGCGUGAAGUCGGAAUCGCUAGUAAUCGCGGAUCAGAAUGCCGCGGUGAAUACGUUCCCGGGCCUUGUACACACCGCCCGUCACACCAUGGGAGUUUGUUGCACCAGAAGUAGGUAGUCUAACCGCAAGGAGGACGCUUACCACGGUGUGGCCGAUGACUGGGGUGAAGUCGUAACAAGGUAAGCGUAGAUGA